rnacentral:tRNA from 1 species
GGGCCUGUAGCUCAGUCAGGUAAGAGCCCCCGGCUCAUAUGACUCCGAGACUUUGCGUUCUCGGGCUUUCGAGUUGUCUCGGCGUCUGGGACACCGGGUACGCGGUGGUUCAAAUCCGCCCGGGCCCA